rnacentral:rRNA from 1 species
UGUUAGAUGCUUGCAUUGUAACUGAUUUAGCGUUGAGACGAGUGGCGAACUGGUGAGUAACACGUGGGUAACCUGCCCUUGAAGUAGGGGAUAACACUUGGAAACAGGUGCUAAUACCGUAUAACAACCAAAACCACCUGGUUUUGGUUUAAAAGAUGGCUUCGGCUAUCACUUUAGGAUGGACCCGCGGCGUAUUAGCUUGUUGGUAAGGUAACGGCCUACCAAGGCAAUGAUACGUAGCCGACCUGAGAGGGUAAUCGGCCACAUUGGGACUGAGACACGGCCCAAACUCCUACGGGAGGCAGCAGUAGGGAAUCUUCCACAAUGGACGAAAGUCUGAUGGAGCAACGCCGCGUGAGUGAUGAAGGGUUUCGGCUCGUAAAACUCUGUUGUUGGAGAAGAACAGGUGUGAGAGUAACUGUUCACAUCUUGACGGUAUCCAACCAGAAAGCCACGGCUAACUACGUGCCAGCAGCCGCGGUAAUACGUAGGUGGCAAGCGUUGUCCGGAUUUAUUGGGCGUAAAGCGAGCGCAGGCGGUUUCUUAGGUCUGAUGUGAAAGCCUUCGGCUUAACCGGAGAAGUGCAUCGGAAACCAGGAGACUUGAGUGCAGAAGAGGACAGUGGAACUCCAUGUGUAGCGGUGAAAUGCGUAGAUAUAUGGAAGAACACCAGUGGCGAAGGCGGCUGUCUGGUCUGUAACUGACGCUGAGGCUCGAAAGCAUGGGUAGCGAACAGGAUUAGAUACCCUGGUAGUCCAUGCCGUAAACGAUGAGUGCUAAGUGUUGGAGGGUUUCCGCCCUUCAGUGCUGCAGCUAACGCAUUAAGCACUCCGCCUGGGGAGUACGACCGCA